AUUGUUUCCCGUUUGAGAACUCAAACGUAAAUUUUCGUACUCGAAAACAGCAAUUCUCAUAUCUUUGAAAUAAGUUGGUAUAAUUCGGUACAAGUCUGAAACUGUUGUUCCAUUUUUUUUUCUGGAACAAGCUUAUUUCUAAGUAAGAAUAAAAUUAAUUAAAGUCUAAAUUUAAUUUUAAUUAUGGUAUUGAAUCAUUACCUAAUCUAAUUAAUACAUUUACAUUAUUAUCGAUUGCUUAAAUAAUAAAGUAAUUAAUUAAUUUAUUACUUAUAAUUAAUUAGCUAAUUAAUUAUUAAUAAUUUAACGUGUUUAUCCAUAAACUAAUAUUUAUAUUGAUCAACCAUUAAUAUUUUUAUUAAUCUAAUUAAUUUUUUUAUUAGUUAUUUAACUAAAAUAAUUUACUAACUAAUUAAAAAAUUAAAAUAUUUUUUAUAUUUAAUUGAUUAACUAAUAUAUUUUCAUUAUCUUAUACAACAUUAAUAACUAUUAAAUUUAUUAAUUUAUUAAAUUAUUUUUAAUUAAUAUUUUGAUAUUAAUUAAUUAGAUAAAAUAUUUUUAAUUUAAAAUUACAACUCUUAUUCCUUUUAUUUAAUCUAACCAGCAAACACUAUUUAUCUUGUUCUCGGGAACAAGCUAAUUUUCUUUUAAAUACAAAAUUAAUCUAUUUCUAAAAUAAACGGUUCUUAUUUAUACACGAACCAAACUCUGCC
rnacentral:lncRNA from 1 species